rnacentral:lncRNA from 1 species
UAGUUGAGCUAAGCACAGGUCUCCUCUGAGCACAGCAUCUGGUGUGACUGCAGUACAUGUCCAUCAAGAUUAUUGUUAGCGCAGCCAUUACCUCUAUUCUUUUUUUUUUUAGACGGAGUCUCGUUCUCUCGCCAGGCUGGAGUGCAGAGGCACGAUCUUGGCUCACUGCAACCUCAGACACCCUGGUUCAAGUGAUUCUCCUUCCUCAGCCUCCUGAGUAGCUGGGAUUACAGGCACGCGCCACCACGCCCAGCUAAUUUUUGUAUUUUUAGUAGAGACGGGGUUUCACCAUAUUGGCCAGGAUGGUCUCCAUCUCCUGAUCUCAUGAUCCGCCUGCCUUGGCUGACUUCUGUCUUUAUAGAUAAGCUACCUUUCUCCCAGCUCUGGUGAAUGCAUCUAUCUGGUCACUGAAUUCAAGCUCUUCUUGUCUAUCACCAAUAUUCUUUCAAAAUUAAUUUAUUCAUCCAAUGAACUACUAGUUAAUUUUUUUUUCCAAAGAAAAUGGUAAGCCAAUGUUAGACCGCACAUGGAAGAUGUAAAAGGUACAAAAAUAGCCAAAAGAACUUUAAAAUGCUUAAAACAGAAGACAAAGACGAAGAUGUCAAAGAUAAAGACUUAAAAGUAAGAUUUCAGGAGAAAAUGUAGAAUUACAUUAUCACAUUAUGAUGUUGAAUAACCAGUGAAAACCUCCCCAAGAUACACCAACCUGACUCUCUAUAAAUUAAAAGGCAUAAAUAAACAGAAUUUUACAUGAAUAACUUAUUUCUAAGCAGCUUUAAAAGGAGAUAUAUCAAAAGAUAAAGAGCAAAAAGAACUUCAUGUGACUUGCCGAAUGACUGUUUCAACCCACAGGAAAGAAGAUUUUCUUGAAAGGCAAGGCUCUAAAUUGCAAGAACUAUGAUUUGAAGUGAGAACGUAUUUUUAAUUUUAAAUCUUGUCUGUAAUAGACACAACCAAGCUAUAAAAGCCCUCUUAGCAGAGGGUAGUCAGGACAGAGAGGAGAAAAUGGA